rnacentral:misc_RNA from 1 species
CCUUCUAUGGGAAAUUCAAAANGUUUUUUGAAACAAAAACCAAAUAAAAGAGUUUUUGGUUUUUAUGUAUUUCUACAAUAAAGUAUUCCUUUAAUAAAUAUAGAUUAAAAUGCUAUNAGAUAGUUUAAAAUGCUAAUAAAAAACUAGCUUUCAAAUAAAUAAUUCAUUUUACAUUAAUUUAAUUCUUAUUUUUAAGAGAUUAAUUUUUAUUAAUUUAGUUAGUUAAAUUUUAGUUAAGAUUAGACUUUAAUUAGAACUAUAAAUUAUAUAUAAUUUAUAGAAUUUUUAAUUCUAAAAAUAAUAUAUAUCUAUAUCUUAGGAUUUCAAUUACUUAAUUAAGUAACAAUUGACUUAUUAAUUAACUUUUCACAAUAGAAGAAAAGAUUUUCUUCUAUUGUGAAAAGUUUAAUAGAACUUAAAUUAAAUUUGAGAUUUAAAUAUUUCCUAUCUUAUAUCUUAUAUAUAUUUUUUAAAAAUUUUUNNCANAUUAAAAAAAGANUUAUAAWUUAUUGUUAAUUUAUNNUUAAUUUUANCNUUAAAAAAUAAAAAANGANAAAUGNUNAAAAAAAAAACNNNNNNUUUUUUUUUUUUUNNNUUUUUUCNNUAANAUUNAAAAAAAAAAAANNNNAAAUUUUUUUUUUUUUUUUUUAUUUUUGUAAAUAUUAAAAAAAAUGAUUUUUCUUCCGUAUCAUUAUUGAUACGGAAAAUAAGAUAAAUGAGAAAAAAAUAGUAAGUUUUAUAAAAAAAGCAAGAUUUUGCCAUUGAGGAUGUCAAAAUAAAAUGAAAAAAAAUCUUUUCUCNNUNUCCAUUC